UGGCCGCCAUUUGGUCCUUUCUCGAGCUUCACCCACGCAGCGAUACGUAACGUCCUUUUCUUCUCAGAUCCAUAACCUUUGUCCCGAGAAGCCGCGGCAUACUUUACUUCGUAACUGCUGCGUAAACCUCUCAUAAACGGCAAUGUAAUCAAAUAUCAGCGUCGCAUUAUGCAGGGAGGUUAUGUCCACGGGCUUUUCAAAACAACGCAUCAUCGAGAUUACGCCCACGGUCGACGUUUGGCACUUGUACUCUUCUUUAGGGAUUUGCAGACAUCAGGAAAGUCCCGAUCGAUUGCAAAAUCAUAAGCGACAGUAAAGAAAUAUUUGUAAUACAGUUAACCCUCUGUAAUGUAAAUGUAAAUGUUAACCAUUUGCAGUUAACCAUCGCAAAGGCUAAAUCAACGUUUCUUCGGUUCUUUCCAGAUUUGUUGCUACUGAUGUUUGCACCAACGCGCUUCCGCGCAUGUACCGGCCAUCCUAACCUAACACUGUAACCGCUCGUGUAAACCGCGUAAAUGGUAAUGUAAUACACGUAUCGAAUGGCUGCACGAGGUUAAGCCUAGGUGGGCUUCGAAACAAACAGGUUGGAACAAGCUGCACGAGCUCGACAAUGGAAAACCUUGGCAAUAAAAAUCCCUUGCCUGCAAAAUCGGAGACGUAACGACUGGACAAUUGGCUUGAACUUUUCCAAAGGAUCGAAGAGGUGCAACGUGCAUGACCAUUGCCCUCUCACAGUAACAAUAAAAUGUGACCUCAAGGGAAGGAGAAAUUAAUCGAAGCGAACAUUAAACGACUGAAAUCGCGGUAUUGUUUAUUCAUUACGUCACCGCACGCAAGUCGUGCGAACUUACAAGUGCUUACGCAGUUAUGUAUAAAAUAAGCAUACGCACACUGACGCACCGGGUCGCUCGUCUCGCACGAGCUCCAUGACUCGAAAGAAUCCCGAAGGACGAGUACUGUAAAUAGAUCCGCAUCUUCGAUUUCUCCACGGGGAAAUCGUCGACCAGGCGGCCAAUAAUUCCGCAUGACACCGUUGAUAGACCUCUCGGUACGGAUUAUAAAUGAGAAAGGGCAAAAAACUCGCAAAUUCUUAGAUCAAGCCGUGCAACCUUGAUCACGUGGACUUCGGCUAAUCAUAUACUCUCAAUCCGGAAAUCGAUUAAAUGAUGGCUCAAUUAGCGACCAGUCAGAGGAAAGGGACGGCUGUACUCUGAUCAAAAUGCCCAAGUCAAUUUACAUACUCAAAUCAUUGGUUAUUUUAA